rnacentral:rRNA from 1 species
GAUCCUGGCUCCGGAUGAACGCUAGCGGCAGGCUUAACACAUGCAAGUCGAGGGGCAGCGGGUUGUAGCAAUACACUGCCGGCGACCGGCGCACGGGUGCGUAACGCGUAUGCAACCUACCCAUAACAGGGGCAUAACACUGAGAAAUUGGUACUAAUUCCCCAUAACAUUCGAAGAGGCAUCUCUUUGGGUUGAAAACUCCGGUGGUUAUGGAUGGGCAUGCGUUGUAUUAGCUAGUUGGUGAGG